CCUACGGGAGGCAGCAGUGAGGAAUAUUGGUCAAUGGACGAGAGUCUGAACCAGCCAAGUAGCGUGAAGGAUGACUGCCCUAUGGGUUGUAAACUUCUUUUAUAUGGGAAUAAAACGUUCCACGUGUGGGAUUUUGUAUGUACCAUAUGAAUAAGGAUCGGCUAACUCCGUGCCAGCAGCCGCGGUAAUACGGAGGAUCCGAGCGUUAUCCGGAUUUAUUGGGUUUAAAGGGAGCGUAGGUGGAUUGUUAAGUCAGUUGUGAAAGUUUGCGGCUCAACCGUAAAAUUGCAGUUGAAUCUGGCAGUCUUGAGUACAGUAGAGGUGGGCGGAAUUCGUGGUGUAGCGGUGAAAUGCUUAGAUAUCACGAAGAACUCCGAUUGCGAAGGCAGUUCACUGGACUGCAACUGACACUGAGGCUCGAAAGUGUGGGUAUCAAACAGGAUUAGAUACCCGAGUAGUC
rnacentral:rRNA from 1 species